rnacentral:rRNA from 1 species
UACGUAGGGGGCAAGCGUUGUCCGGAAUCAUUGGGCGUAAAGCGCGUGUAGGCGGCUUGGUAAGUCUGCUCUGAAAGCCCGGGGGCUCAACCCCGGGAGGCGGGUGGAUACUGUCAAGCUCGAGUCCGGAAGAGGAGUGUGGAAUUCCUGGUGUAGCGGUGAAAUGCGCAGAUAUCAGGAGGAACACCAAUGGCGAAGGCAGCACUCUGGGACGUGACUGACGCUGAGACGCGAAAGCGUGGGAGCAAACAGG